CAUAAUUUCCAACCAUCAAACCAGUAAACGUAAAGAUUCAAAAAAAAAAAAAAGGUGUUUUCAUCGUAAGAAUAUUACAAAGAACAAUAUGUCAUCAUCACAGUUCACUAUCUUUUGCAUCAUAAUGAUUGCUUUAUUCCCUCUUCAUGAAUUUGUCGAUGGUCAGGGUGCAGCAGCUAAACCAACUUGCACGCAAACCCCAUGCCACGAACUCAAAGAAAAUCACACUUGUUCUUGUUGUUCCUCCAAAGUUAAGGCUCAAAACAUGUGUUACAUGAGCCAAGAAGAAUGUUCGCGUAGGUGCGGCAAGCCAUAAGUUAUCUCGAGAAUCUACAUCAAAGACUUAAAAAACUUGAAUAACCAUUUUAUUUAAUACAUCCUCAUUUCUAUUUUAGUUUUAUAUGAAUAACACAUGCUUAUUUGCAGCCCAACAAAUACAAAUUAUGCAUAUUGUAUUUGUG